rnacentral:sRNA from 1 species
GCUGGGUACAGUGGUGCAUACCUGUAAUCCCAGUGGCUGGGGAGGCUGAGGCAGGAGAAUCUCAUGUUCAAAGUUUACUUCAGCAAUAGUGAGGAACUAAGCAACUCAAUGAGACCCUGUCUCUA